AGAGUUUGAUCCUGGCUCAGAAUCAACGCUGGCGGCGCGCCUAACACAUGCAAGUCGAACGAGAAAGGGGAGCAAUCUCUGAGUACAGUGGCGUACGGGUGAGUAACACGUGGGUAAUCUGCCCUUUGGUGGGGAAUAACCCUGGGAAACCGGGGCUAAUACCGCAUAAGUCCGAGAGGGGAAAGUCGCAAGACGCCGAAGGAGGAGCCCGCGGCCGAUUAGCUAGUUGGUAGGGUAAAAGCCUACCAAGGCGAAGAUCGGUAGCCGGCCUGAGAGGGCACACGGCCACACUGGCACUGAAACACGGGCCAGACUCCUACGGGAGGCAGCAGUGGGGAAUCUUGCACAAUGGGGGAAACCCUGAUGCAGCGACGCCGCGUGAGCGAUGAAGCCCUUCGGGGUGUAAAGCUCUUUCGGCAGGGAAGAUUAUGACGGUACCUGCAGAAGCAGCUGCGGCUAACUACGUGCCAGCAGCCGCGGUAAUACGUAGGCAGCAAGCGUUGUUCGGAGUUACUGGGCGUAAAGGGUGUGUAGGCGGUUUGGUAAGUCUGGUGUGAAAUCUCCCGGCUCAACUGGGAGGGUGCGCCGGAAACUGCCGGACUCGAGUGCGGGAGAGGAGAGUGGAAUUCCUGGUGUAGCGGUGAAAUGCGUAGAUAUCAGGAGGAACACCGGUGGUGUAGACGGCUCUCUGGACCGUAACUGACGCUGAAACACGAAAGCGUGGGUAGCAAACAGGAUUAGAUACCCUGGUAGUCCACGCCCUAAACGAUGCAUAUUUGGUGUGGGUCAUUCAGUUGAUCCGUGCCGGAGCUAACGCGUUAAAUAUGCCGCCUGGGGAGUACAGUCGCAAGGCUGAAACUCAAAGGAAUUGACGGGGGCCCGCACAAGCGGUGGAGCAUGUGGUUUCAAUUCGACGCAACGCGAAGAACCUUACCUGGGCUCGAACGGCUGGGUUACCGGCCGUGA
rnacentral:rRNA from 1 species